UCUGCCUAGAGGUGUGGAGCUGUAAAGGAGUAGUGAAUGUGUGACUGUACUACAGCCUCUGUCUAGAGGUGUGGAGCUGUGAAGGAGUAGUGAAUUCUAUGUGACUGUACUACAACCUCUACCUAGAGGUGUGGGGCUGUAAAGGAGUAGUGAAUGUGUGACUGUACUACAGCCUCUGCCUAGAGGUGUGGAGCUGUAAAGGAGUAGUGAAUGUGUGACUGUACUACAGCCUCUGCCUAGAGGUGUGGAGCUGUAAAGGAGUGGUGAAUGUGUGACUGUACUACAACCUCUACCUAGAGGUGUGGGGCUGUAAAGGAGUAGUGAAUGUGUGACUGUACUACAACCUCUGCCUAGAGGUGUGGAGCUAAUAGCUAGAAUCCAUAGUUGCUACAUCCUUCUUUUUUUUUACUAAUAAAUUAAUGAUAUAUACCCAUUGAUUCUUGAAGAAUACAAUUGGUAAAUGCCUCAUGAGAUUAGUUUAACUGU
ensembl:lncRNA